AAGUGGGGUAUUUCUCCACGUUGGUAUGUCCGAUUUACACCAACCUUGGGUCAAUAGUUCCCCAUGUCUUCAUUAUGUAUCGUGCACAAUUUCAGGUCAUCACCACUAGGUGGCGCUCUUUAAAAUGAAGGAGUUUAUAGCUCUACAACGGUAUGCGUGAUUAAGAUGAAACUUGGUACGCUGCUUCCCCAUGGCUCCCUGAGGCUCACUUAAAAAGGACAAAAAAAAUACGCCACUAGGUGGUGCUCUUUUGGCAUGAUAAAUCACUCGUAAUAGUUAUGAAUAUGAAAUUCACAGGGUACGUGUAGAGUGGUGCCUGAAGCUCACAUACCAAAAAUCCUGUUUGUCCUGCUUGUAGCGCCCCCUACAGGAUAAAAAAACAUCAGCCCCGGCGCCACGUUUCACCGACAUGUACGAAACUCAAUAGGCAUGUAUAAUGUGCCGGGGCGUACAAAAAAGCCUCUUGGACCCAUACCUCAAAUCCCACAGGAAGUCGGCUAUUUUCAUUUAAAAUUUGCACUUUUGGCGGCCAUUUUGUGGUCAUUUUGACUCUUUGGCCUUGUUUUAGAACUA